UACGUAGGGUGCAAGCGUUGUCCGGAAUUAUUGGGCGUAAAGAGCUCGUAGGCGGUCUGUUGCGUCGGCUGUGAAAACCCGAGGCUCAACCUCGGGCCUGCAGUCGAUACGGGCGGACUUGAGUGUUGCAGGGGAGACUGGAAUUCCUGGUGUAGCGGUGAAAUGCGCAGAUAUCAGGAGGAACACCGGUGGCGAAGGCGGGUCUCUGGGCAACUACUGACGCUGAGGAGCGAAAGCGUGGGGAGCGAACAGG
rnacentral:rRNA from 1 species